UACGUAGGCAGCAAGCGUUGUUCGGAAUUACUGGGCGUAAAGAGUGUGUAGGCGGUGCCCUAAGUUUGGUGUGAAAUCUCCCGGCUCAACUGGGAGGGUGCAUCGAAAACUGGGGUGCUCGAGGGUGGGAGAGGUAAGCGGAAUUCCUGGUGUAGCGGUGAAAUGCGUAGAGAUCGGGAGGAAGGCCGGUGGCGAAGGCGGCGCUCUGGAACAUUUCUGACGCUGAGGCUCGAAAGCGUGGGGAGCAAACAGG
rnacentral:rRNA from 1 species